GCAUUCAGAAAACCAGCGAUCCGAAGCUUGUCAGUACAGCACGGACCGAAAAUAGACGCACCAAACAAUGUAGAGCUAAAAACGCGACAAGGAUACUUUUUUGAGGCGGAUGGCGCGGAUGGAGUCGCGGUCGGAGGUGGAGGCGGAUGAGGAGGCACUACGGCGUCGGCGGUCCUGAGGCUGCGCCGGCGGGUUCGUGGUGGCGGCGGCCGCGGAGCAGCAGCGGAUACGGAGGCCAAGGGGCCUUGAAGCGGAGGCGGCGGCGCGGGAGGCCGCGAAGCCGAUGAGAUUGGAGGAGGCCCUCCACGCCCGCAGCGCCUCCAUUGCUCCGGGCAGGGGGGCUGAACGAAUGAGCGGGUUUGUCUGGUGGCGCCCGCAGCUCCGCACGUGCUCGCCGCCGCGGCAGGAUAGGGAGACGGCGGCCGCGGGAGCGAGGAUAGGGCCGUCUAGCUGCUGGCGGCUGAGGUGGCCCCGAAACCCACCCGACCGUGAAGCGUCGACGGCCCUGGACCAAUCCGGCCUUCCUAUCGGCCGUGGGCCAACUCAGCCUGCCCGCGGCCCAUUCUGGCUGGGUGACGCCUGACGCGUCCAAGCCGCGCCAACGGAAUAUGCCGUGCGCGUUGCGGCCAGCCCGCUUGUCCCCCGGGCGGGUCCCGCCUGUCGCGCGAACCAGGGAAAUAUCUACAUCUCGUCUGCGCCGCCGCUGGGAUUUAUUAGGGUUCUACUUCUAGCCCGGGCCGACUCCACUCCAAUCCAAUCCUGGGGCGGGCGACUGCCUCCUUCCCUCGAUCUAUUCUCCAUCUUGUCCUCCCUUUGCUAAAAAUAACGAGGCAGAGGCAUCUUCGAUUUGACGUGCGCUUCCUCUUCCUCGCUCGCUCUCGGUCGCAGUGAUGGCUGAUGUCGACGAGUACCGUUGCUUCAUUGGGAACCUGUCCUGGUCAACGACUGAUGAAAGCCUCAAGGAUGCGUUCAGCAAAUUCGGCAACCUCACUGAGGCAAAGGUGGUUCUUGACAAAUUUUCAGGACGUUCUCGUGGUUUCGGCUUUGUAACUUUUGAUGAGAAGCAAGCCAUGGAGGAUGCUAUUGAGGGAAUGAAUGGACUGGACUUGGACGGGAGGAACAUCACUGUUGAUAAAGCUCAGCCACAAGGACCUGGUAGAGACCGUAAUGGUGACCGUGAUUAUGACCGCGAGCGUGGAUCUCGUUAUGAACGUGGUCGUGACUAUGGUGGUGGGCGUGCACCGCGAGGUGGUGGUGGUGGUGGUGGUGGUGGUGACUGCUUCAAGUGUGGGAAACCUGGUCAUUUUGCUAGAGAGUGCCCAUCUGGGGAUGGUGGGAGAGGGGACAGAUAUGGUGGGAGAGAUGACAGGUAUGGUGGCGGUGGCGGUGGCGGUGGCGGUCGUUAUGGUUCUGACCGUGGUGGUGACCGAUACUCUGGCCGUAGCCGAGAUGGCGGCAGCUAUGGGGGUGGCGAUCGCUACAGCCGUGACCGAUCAGGUCCUUACUGAUGGCCUUAGUUCUUGAUUGAGAAGUAUGUGCCAUCCAGGCAUAUGACUUGGUCAUAGUGCUUGGCGCUUGGAUCCUGCAUGUUUGCUUGAUGUGCUAUUUGGCUAUUAAAAGAUGGAUUUUGUCACUGUGUUUGAUGACCCUGGUCCUAAUUAAGCUUAUGCCUGUGAUACGGGGGAUUGGAUGGCAAGUUAGUGUCCGCAUUUGUGUUCUUUUCGGGGAAGCAAGGGGUUGACUACUAUAAUCUACUUGAACACACCUACAGCUACAAGAAAAAACUAUGUUCUUGUUACCUCUUCUGAAAGCAAGUGAUGAAUCGUCCAUUAGAGAAAAUUAACUGGCUUCUUUUUGGUUAUUUGUUCUUGUUGUGGAUUGGUUGAUACUGUGGUUCUGGAUUUGGUUACUUGCGUCCUAAGAUCAUUUUAGUCUGGCCAGUUGAUCCACGAAUGCAAAGAGAUUAUCCUUUGGUUCCAUUCUAUGUGCCUUUAGCAUUGGAGGGCCUCUAUUUAUGGUUGCUUGAUGAACUGGUUAUGUUUGCUUCGCCAUGUUGGUGGGGUGUUCCUUGAGCUGUCCCGUGUUCCUUGUGACUUGUGAGAACACCAGAGGUUAUGCUUGCCUGAGUGGAUGUGAUGCUACCUGGUUGCUGUUCCUUUGACAAUGCACCAAUGUCCUAUCGCAGCUUAUAUACUCUGGUUCCAGAUUAAUUACUGGUGCCCCUUUGAGAGGAGUUAUGAUGAUGUUAUUAUUCAUCAGCAGCAUUCUAAUUGCCCUUGAUUUAGUGUAGCCUUUUUUUCUUAGUUCACCGAAUCUCAGGAUGCAAACGUUAGGUUACUUUUACUGUUCGUACUAACCAAUUGAGCUUUUGUACUAAAAAAAGUAUGUUACAUUAAGCUGCUCCAGGUUCCGUUUUCUCCCGGCUUUGAACAUGUUGAUUUGUACUGAAA